CAGGCCGGUCUUCUGACUUGGCUUCAUCCAUCUGCCGCAGCCUUCCCGGCAAAGCCAGUGGCGUGAUGAAGCGGCAGACGUCGGCCUUACAGCGUUGGGCACGUUCCGGCCUUGCACCGGAUUCCCGAUUCUCCCGC
rnacentral:sRNA from 1 species